rnacentral:rRNA from 1 species
CUUUUGAAUAUAAUUUAAGGUCUAGCCUGCCCAAUGAAUUUUAAAUGGCCGCGGUAUUUUGACCGUGCAAAGGUAGCAUAAUCAAUAGUUUUUUAAUUGAAAGCUGGAAUGAAAGGUUGAAUGAAAGAAUAACUGUCUCUUUUUAAUUUAAUUUAGAAUUUUAUCUUUAAGUAAAAAAGCUUAAAUUUUAAUAGAAGACGAGAAGACCCUAUAGAGUUUAAUUUUUUUUUUUAUUAAGKUUUUUUUGGGAUUUAUUUUUUUUUAAAAAAAAAUUAAUUUUGUUGGGGUGAUUGAAAAAUUUAAAAAACUUUUUUUUUAUUUUUACAUUAAUUUGUGAUUAUUUGAUCCUUUAUUNNAGAUUAAAAGAUAAAAUUACCUUAGGGAUAACAGCGUAAUUUUUUUUGAGAGUUCUAAUCGAAAAAAAAGAUUGCGACCUCGAUGUUGGAUUAAAAUAAAAUUUUGGUGUAGAAGCUAAA